rnacentral:rRNA from 1 species
GUGGGGAAUCUUGCGCAAUGGGCGAAAGCCUGACGCAGCCAUGCCGCGUGAAUGAUGAAGGUCUUAGGAUUGUAAAAUUCUUUCACCGGGGACGAUAAUGACGGUACCCGGAGAAGAAGCUCCGGCUAACUUCGUGCCAGCAGCCGCGGUAAUACGAAGGGGGCUAGCGUUGCUCGGAAUUACUGGGCGUAAAGGGCGCGUAGGCGGACAGCUUAGUCAGAGGUGAAAGCCCAGGGCUCAACCUUGGAAUUGCCUUUGAUACUGGCUGUCUUGAGUUUGGGAGAGGUGAGUGGAACUCCGAGUGUAGAGGUGAAAUUCGUAGAUAUCCGGAGGAACACCAGUGGCGAAGGCGGCUUCCUGGACAGUAACUGACGCUGAGACGCGAAAGCGUGGGGAGCAAACAGGAUUAGAUACCCGUGUAGUCC